UAAACAACCUGCCAUCAGGAUGGGGACAACAGACGGAAACGACUGCUAAUACCGAAUAAGUUCCAAGGGCCGCAUGGCCCAUGGAAGAAAAGGUGGCCUCUACCUGUAAGCUAUCGCCUGAAGAGGGGUUUGCGUCUGAUUAGCUGGUUGGAGGGGUAACGGCCCACCAAGGCGACGAUCAGUAGCCGGUCUGAGAGGAUGAACGGCCACACUGGAACUGAGACACGGUCCAG
rnacentral:rRNA from 1 species